rnacentral:rRNA from 3 species
GGGUUGCAAAAGAAGUAGGUAGCUUAACCUUCGGGAGGGCGCUUACCACUUUGUGAUUCAUGACUGGGGUGAAGUCGUAACAAGGUAACCGUAGGGGAACCUGCGGUUGGAUCACCUCCUUACCUUAAAGAA